GGAAAAAUGUGAAAGACAAAAGUACACUACACAGUGAUGCCAAUUCAGCUAGGGAUCAAAUAAAAUCUUUACCAUCAGUUAAGUCACAUUUGAGUCACAUUUAUAAUUGUGUAAGUACCAAUAGAAAUUACCUCGAGUCACAUCUUAAUGUUUCAAAAAUGUUUAAUCUUUUUAAAUAGAAAUGUAUAAACAAAAAAAUUGAGCCAUCAAAAAAAUUCAAUCUUGGCUUUCACAUUCCUAAAAUAAACAAAUGCAACUAUUGUGAGAAGUUUAAAGUUGCUGAAAAUACUGAUAUGAUGUCUAAAAAAAUGAGAGAAGACUUUGAAAGACAUCAAGUUUUUAAAAAAAAAUGAAAGAUAUACUUGCUGAAGAAAAAAAGGAUAAAAAUGUUCCAUUUUACUUUUCGAUCUUCAAAAUGUCAUUUUGACUCGGCAUGCAGAAAUUAGUUCCCUUUUUUAUGUGAGAAAACUAAGCGUGUAAAAUUUGACAGUUUACUUUUCCACAACCAAAAAAGUGUAUUGUGCAUUAUGGACUGAAUCAAUGGCGAGAAGAAGCAGCGAUGAUCUUGCCAGUGCCGUUUGCUAAACUUAAAGUGAUGUGGCUAAGAAAAACCACGUUUAAAUCAAGCCCCGAUUGCAAUAAACCUAUUAACUGUGCAAAUGUCAAGUUUAAUGAAAAACCUAACAGAAAAAAUGCAGCAACAAGUCUAUCAACUUCCACUGUUUUAAAUGUAAAACCAAAUAUUCAAAAAUGUACAAAGGAACUUGUAGACCUAAAAAAAAAAGAUGUUUUUGCUUAUAUCUCUAGAGGACAGAGAUUACUAUUGAGUUGUUCUUCACUUAUAAAAUAAACAGAUACCAUGAAAAACCUUUGAGGUUUGUACUUAAUGAAAUGGUUUUUAAAUGUACCAAUAAAAUGUAGCUCAAAAAAGAAUAUAAAUGAGUUAACAAAAUUUUGUAACCUUGUUUUGUGACUGAAGCAAUAACCUAAUUAUGAAACUUAGCUUUUUAUUAAGAUUUUGUUUCAGUUACAAAAUUUAAAGUAACUAACUGCUUCAGUCACAAAAUUUAAAAGUAACUAACAUGUUUCUAACUACCGUUAUAACAGCAGUUAGAAACUUGUCAUAAUGAGAAAAAGGUUUAUUGCUAUGACAAGGUUCUAACUGUAUUUUGGGGUAUUUAUUUUCCUAUGAAAAAUAAAAGAUUUUUCAAAAAUUAUAGUAAUACCUAUUAGAAAUGCUUAUGUUAUCACGAGUAAAAAUUAUUACUAAUGGAUUUCAAUAAAUUUUGAUAAAAAAAACAUAACAACCUUUUAGAUGGAUUUACUCAAAACUGCUCGCGGAUCAAUUAGAACCUUGUCAAACCAACGCAACGAGUUAACGAGAUUUAUAGAGCCAAUAAAUCUGCGAAAAGCCAUAUGGUUACUGGGCACUAAGGAGUUAACUAGAUUUUGAGGUUAGUUAAAGUAACUGUUUUUCAGUUAUUUUAGUUAACCUAAUCAAAUAGUUAUUAUGCUUUUUUUUUUCUCUUAUCUAAAUAAGAUAUUCACAUUGCCUGUUGAGCAAAUAAUAAAGCAAACUAUCGAUACAAUUGAUGUUAACUCUUGAUAAACAUCCUGCUUAGCUACUUAAGUCAACAUGAAUAAAACAUAUAAAUACACCUAAUCUUCACUAUCAUUUACUUUAACAAAUUUUAUAUUUGGAAACUUGUGAAAAUAAUUUUUAUAUUAUUAAACAUGGAAACAUAUAUCCUGCUCUCACUUCUAGGCUAUGCGAUAACGUUUGAUACGCAAAAUUGGAUGAGGGAUGUUGAUGGAAAUAAAAAACUUAGUCAAUUGGCCAUACCUGGAACUCAUGAUUCUGGAGCAUACAAUACACCUGGAGAUAUCGUAGAAACUCAAGAUUGGAGUAUAAUGCAGCAAUUAGAGAAUGGGAUUUGAUUCCUUGAUAUUCGUCUCGGCAAUAACGGUGCAAGUAAUGACUUUGAAAUUCGACACGGAAAUCUAAGGUUAGGUAGUUUCAAUAACUUGGUAAUUAAUAUUGUUAACAAUUUUCUUGAUAGAAAUCCAAGUGAAACUAUUCUUAUGACUAUAAAAGAUGAGGAUAUCUUGGAUAUACCAAGACUUGUGAGAGAUUACCUUCGGAACUUUAAUCAUAAAUUCUAUCAAAACGCGAUCACACCAUCUACAAGAUUGAAUGAAGAUCGUGGGAAAAUAGUUCUUUUUAACCGUUACGGCAACGACAACAGUAUGGGGAUUUUAUGGGAUUCUAUCAAACCCAACAUACAAGAUGAAUACGAAUUGGACACAGAAUGCAAACCUAUAAUUGGUUGCGGAUUUUGGGUAGGAUUGGAUUAUCCAAAAAAAGCGCGUCUGGUUAAACAGCAUUUAGAAAUUGCAAAACAAAAUUAUGGAAAAAACAUUUUUUUUAUAAGCUUUGCAAGCGCACACAAGUUUCUAACAAAGUAAUCAAAGAAUUUUUUGAGUCUAAUUUAGAAGUUGGAGUCAUUGUCCCUAUGGAUUACCCAAACCGUCGGUUAGGUCUUAUUUUGAGCAUGAUAUAUGGUUCAAUAUACAGUGAUAAAAUAUGUCUAACUAUGAGCACACAAAAUGAUGGACUUUAUGGCACGUGGGGAGAAAAAGAAAUGUGUCCACCGAACCAAUAUGUUUAUGGCAUGAGACUUCGAAGUUAACCAAAGCUUGGGAGUGGCGAUGACACAGCUUUAAAUGCUGUUGAACUAUAUUGCAACAACAAACAAGGACAGACUCACUCAGUUAUAUCAAAUAAACAGGGACCGUUUGGAUUGUGGACUCCUAAUGUAUAUUGCCCCUCAUUUUCUGAUCCAGUAACAGGGUAUAAUCUUUUAAUUGAACCAGCACAAGGAAGUGAUGACGACACCGCUGACAACAAUCUUGCUCUAUAUUGUAGAGAUGGAACUGUAAUAAAUGCACAAGUUUAUACAAAUUAGGGUGUGUGGCAACCCAUAAACUCUUGUCCUCAUGGAAUGGCUGUUGUAGGUUUAGUCACACGUGUAGAAGAUCACGAAGACGACAUGGACGAUACAGCUUUAAAUGGACUUAGAAUGUUUCGCAAAACUUUCUAAGUUUUAGUAAAGCUCAAUCAAUAAUGACAAUUUUACCUAAAACCUAAAAACCUUACACAUAUAUUCAUACUAUUUAAAUAUUAAAACUCUUAAAAAUC